GCUGGCUCGCGUGACCGCCCAGCACUCCCUGUAGGCGUGUUGCUUUACGAAACCUCCUCACUCCCACCACGUCAUCGAUCCAAGGCAUAGCGACAUCCCCAAUCGGCGUUGGUCUGCCCGUCCUUCCUUCCCAAUCGGCUGCGGCGGCUUCAAACCAAUCGGCAACGGCGGUGCCACUCAGCUCCCAAUCGGCAACGGCGGUGCCACACCCAUUUAUCCUGGUGCCCCGACCACAUGACAGCGAGGCUGCAGCUUCCGUCAGCUCCCCGACGCUAGUGCCGCCGACCGCUCGCCGCCGCUGCCGGGGUUUGGGCCGCCGCCGCCGCCGCCGCUCGACACCGACGCUGCAGCACUACUCCGCCGACGCACUCACCACGUCUUCUCCCGCCGGCCGACCAGCAAGAGGAGCCGUGACCCCGCUUCGCUCGACUGUAUAACUCCAGCGAGGAACAGCCUCUGCGAAGUUGCUGAUUCCAUCGCAGUUCCGGAGCUCGAGGCCGAGAGUGCCGGUCAAGGUCUUCGGAGAUCUCGACAUCACGCUUUGCCUCCAGGCGCUGCUCCACCCUCUGCCGUUUCUAACCUCGCCUGUGGCCUCCGACGCCCCCACCGUCGCUGUGCCCUUUGCUGGCUGAGGAGCAUCUGCGCCCUCCAGCCACCGCGUCCACGCCGUGCGGCCACUGCCUAACCCCGCAGCAGCAACUCGCCCCCGACUUAGGCCAUCUGGCUUCCCUUGGAUCGACCGUCCACUGCUGCGUUGCUUGCCUGCUGAUGAGAACUCUUGUGUGUGGAAAAGUAAGGUCAGAGAGGUGAUCACAGUGGUGGAGAAGGAGCUGGGAUUUGGUGAAGGAAAACUUCUGCAUAAGCUUUGCAAGUUUAACAACUGGCUCUGAAAAUCAAGCAUCUUUUCAAAAAAAAAAAACAUACAUCAGCUGUUGUACACAAGAAGAAAUUUGCAAAGAUUUUAUGUAAGGAGAAUUCCAUCCUUAACUGUUGACAUAGUUGGUCCAUUAAGCACAUAUCACUAUUCUCCAGAUCCUCGGAUUCAUAUAAUGGAUAAAAAUUCUCGUGCACCAUUGGGAGACAAAACUAACACUGCCAAAGAAGUCAAUGCUAAAGAACGUAAGAGAGAAAGGGAUAGAGCUCGAUGGCUUGAACAAAAGGAUGCAAUUAACAAGAGACGUCGUGAAAAAUACCAUCAGAGAAAAAACCAACAUGUUCUUCGAACUACAAACUAUGAUGAUGCCGCAUCGUUGAUCCUGGCGAAACAGAUGACUGGCUCCAUAAGAAUGAUUCUUAUUAUACCAACAAUAUUGUUGAUGAGAACAUGUCCACUCGAUUAUCAUGUAAUUUAAGAUGCUGAAGUAUUUUAGGUCUAUGAAAAUGAUGUUGUGCAAUGAUAUGAAACAAUAUAGCUAAUAAAUGUAUUUAUAUGAUUUUGUUGAUAGAUGAGCUAGAAAUGAAGACUAUAGAGAAGGAUAGUACUAUUGGUACAAAAAGUACAUCAAAAAGUAACUACAAGUGAAUGGUACAAAAACAUGACGCCUAAACAAAGGGAAGCAAGGCGCGAGCGCAAAGGCUAUACAAUAGUGAACCCAAGCGUAAGGAGACAUUAAAACUGUCUAAGAACAAAUUCAAAGAACUGCGAAAGCACACCCUGCACCCGGAGUCUAUCACCAUGGAGAACCCGUUAUUUACUCCUGAGCUUGUUUGGCCCACUGCGGGCGCAUCUGGAGCUCAUGGAUCCAUGACAAAAUCCAGUGAUUGGGUUAUCCCAGAGUCCAGUGCAACAUCUCUUUAUAUUUCUCCACCUCAUGUGGUCGAGGAUGAAGGAUGUGAUGAGUUAGUACCUGGCCAUAUGCCACAUAGAUCACAUAUUUCAUCUGGUCAAAGACAUGCAUUAUUGACCUAUCAUAACACGAGGUUUGAGCGUCGUAUUGGUUCGAACACAAGGACAUCUAAUAAAGAUGGUGACUGCAUAGCUGAAGACCAAGUGGAUGUUAACACAUCCUUGCCUCAUUCAGCUGUGAGCAACAAUGGUGGAUGCCUUGUUAUCCCAUUUAGAUGACAUGUAUAACAUAUUAACCUAAUGAUCCUUGGUCAUUUCAUGAUUAACAGAAAAUGUAGGAUCCAAAGUUCAAGCUACAUCAAUCACACUAAUGACACCAUUGUUUUAUGAUUGUGAAUGCAUUACUAAAGGCCAAGUGGAUGUUAACACGCCCUUGCCUCAAUCAGCUAUGACCAACAUGCCCUUAUCAGAAGGGAUAGGACGUAUCCUUAAGCCUAGGCCAGACAUACCGAUGACACCACUAUUCGAUGAUAGUGGUAAUUUACAUUGUUUUCUAACAUUCUAUAAACUAUUUGAACUCCUUUGUUUAUUUUUACCCAUAGUUCUACUAACUCAUGUAUCUUUGAUAGCCAUAGAUGAUGAUGAGGGAGAUAUAUUUGAAGAGGAUGAGGGAUACCUGUUUGCUGGGCAUGAUGAGGAAGAUGAUGACGAUGUCCAAGACAAUGACCUUGAGGAAGACAUGACUUCUAUCCCUGAAGUACCUGACCAAUAUGAUGAGGUGUAUAGUAACAUGCCUACUGAUACCCAUAUGCUAAAACCUGUCGCAAAUUGUGACCACUGCAAUGCGAAAAGGUUUGAGCAUGAAUCACCUGGGUUCUGUUGUCACAACGGGUAGGUCGAGCUCAAUGAGCCGAAUGUACCUGAUGAGCUUAUGAGGCUUUGGUCAUGUGACGAUGCAGAUGCUAGGCACUUUCGUAAUAGCAUUAGGUUUUUCAAUGGCCAUUUCUCUUUCACAUCUCUAUAUUGUCGCCUUGAUAGCGCUACUGCAAGCAU